ensembl:lncRNA
CACACACACACACACAGUGCUUUGCAAUGCUGUCAGUGGCCCUCAGCUCCCAGCAUAUGGCGGGGCCUUCUGAGACUCGAUGCACGUGCCUCUUUCUUCUCGAGGGAAGCAAUUAAAGACUCAGCAGACAGCCCUCCACCAUCCCAUCACCCCAUCAUUGGGAAGGUAUCCUGAGAAAUGUUGUUCAAUUGAAGAGGAAGUUCAGUUGAUCCGAAAAUGAUCCGACCCGUGACUCAAAAACCGUGACACGAUCCGAACCGAGGGACCCGAGAGCAGCACUGCUAACGCACGUAGCUCAGCACUCUGCAAGCAGUAGGAGAGACGGCCUGGACCAUGUCUGAGCCAUCCGAGCAGGACUUCCCCAAGGAGCACGGCUUCUCCAAGAAGCUACUGAUCAACUGCUGCCUGGUCCGCCGCAUCAUCAUGUGGGCCACGCCCGCCCCCAAAG